AAAUCGUAACAAGGUUUCUGUAGGUGAACCUGCAGAAGGAUCAUUAGUGAAGAUUUGGGCAGGCCAUACGGACGCCAAAAAGUGUCCCUGGCCGCCUACACCCACUAUACAUCCACAAACCCGUGUGCACUGUCUUGGAGAAAGGCUUCAGAGAAGUUUUUUGUGGCCUCUCUUGGGGUCUUUCUUCGCUACAAACUCGAAUGGUUAGUAUGAACGUGGAACUUGGUUGGACCGUCACUGGCCAACAAACUAUACACAACUUUCGACAACGGAUCUCUUGGUUCUCCCAUCGAUGAAGAACGCAGCGAAACGCGAUAGGUAAUGUGAAUUGCAGAAUUCCGUGAAUCAUCGAAUCUUUGAACGCACCUUGCGCUCUAUGGCAAUCCGUAGAGCAUGCCUGUUUGAGUGCCAUGAAAUCUCCCACCCCAAGCGGUUUUUAAAUGAAACGGCUUGGCGGAUGGGGUCUGGAUGGGUGCCUCUGCCUGCGCUACCUAGCACAGGCUCGCCCGAAAUGCAUGAGCGCCUUGAGACACUUUGCAUCCGCCUCUCUGUUUGGGAGGAGGCGGCCAAGCAGUGUUUUUUCUCCUGGCAUGGCAUGAUACGUCAUUUGCUAUGUCGCCUAAAGGAGGAAUGUUUGGUUGUGUCUGCGUGUGCUUCGAACUUGCCUCUGUGGCACAUCCCAAUUUCACUUCUGGUCUCAAAUCAGGUAGGAUCACCCGCUGAACUUAAGCA
rnacentral:rRNA from 1 species